UACGUAGGGGGCUAGCGUUGUCCGGAAUCAUUGGGCGUAAAGCGCGCGUAGGCGGCCCGGUAAGUCCGCUGUGAAAGUCAAAGGCUCAACCUUUGAAUGUCAGCGGAUACUGCCGGGCUAGAGUCCGGAAGAGGCGAGUGGAACUCCUGGUGUAGCGGUGGAAUGCGCAGAUAUCAGGAAGAACACCAACGGCGAAGGCAGCUCGCUGGGACGGAACUGACGCUAAGGCGCGAAAGCGUGGGGAGCGAACAGGGUAGAAUCCGGGUGAAGU
rnacentral:rRNA from 1 species